ensembl:lncRNA
AAAUCAGUGUUCAAAAAAUUUCACCGAGUCAGGACUAGGAGGGAAUUCCAUAAAUUCAAAAAAGUGUGUCUACUAAGAACCUAAAGAACAUGUUACUUAAUGGUGAAGCUUUAGAGGUAAUCAUUAUAUUUAGAGUCAGAUAAGAGUGCUAUCAGUAAUGGCUUCUUUUCAGCAUUGAACUGGAGGUCUAGCCAAUACAAUGAGACAAGAAAAAGGAAGUAUACGAAUUACAGAGGAAGAAAUCAAUGUCUAAUGCCCACCUACUAUUAAUUUAACCCUUCAAUUCGAAGGAGACAGGUGUGGUGCAUUGUUCCAACAGAACCAUACUGUAGUCAAUGUCAGGUGUUUACAUUUUGCAGCCAGGGAAGUCCUACUCACAGCUGCUGCCUAGUGAGCAGCGAUUACUUUUCCUUUUUGUGGCAGACCAGUCUUCAGGCAUUUCUGAAGUUGGAAGUCAGUUGAAACUCAGGAGAAACCCACCCUGUCUCCCAUUACUCAUGGGAUCAAGUUCUAGCUCCUUAAUGUGGCGUGUGUGCCCUUUGUUCCUCCGGGACCCCAGUCCUUGUAUCUGUCGCCCUUUUCCAUGGCUGGUCCCUCAGCCUCAAUGCCUCCUGUCUCUGUCUGGUGAGAUCUUCUUCCCUACAAGGCCUGGCUGGGAUGACACUUUCUUCUGGUGGCCUUUCCAGUUGUGGGUCUGCUACCUAGUGGGUAGACCGAGGUCUUAGUUCUUACCACACUUCUUUAUUUACUGCUUGAGUUUAUUUUAUUAUUAUUAUUUUUUAAAUUACUCAAACGAAUUUAUCACAUCUGUAGUUGUAUAAUGAUCAUCACAAUCCAGUUUCACAGGAUUUCCAUCCCACAACCCAAACUGCUUGGGUUUAAAUGUUGGCUCCACCACGCCCCAGCUUUGUUUCCUUGGGCAAGCUACCUGUCUGUCUCUCUGCACCUCAGUUUCCCUCUUUGCGAAAUGUGAAUAACAACCAUAGCACCUUAUUGCAGGCACUGAUUCAAUUAAAGCGUUCCUAACAUCCAUGUCUGCUCCACAGGAAACUGUACCAUCUGUUCCCUGCAUCCUCCUCUCACACAGACAGGGUUGGUGGGUUAUAGUCACUGGAGCCCAGAAUAGCUUGGGGCAAAUCCACAGUCAGGGAGGGCUGGACGGGGUGGGGGGAGCUCAUUGAGUAAAGGAGGCUGGGUGUGCCUCAGGUACAGAGGGGAGGGGCUGGGAAGGACAGGCUCUAAGGGGUAUCUUCUCCAUUUCCAGCCAGUGGUUGCUAGGGAGGAAUGGGGGCUCAGUGCUGCCAGAUCAUCUGAUUAAAAAAUGUUUUUUUUUUUUUUUUAAUGAGAAAUUUUCAAAUCCACAUUAAAAAAAAGGAAUAUGGGAGUUCCUGUUGUGGCUCAGCAGAAAUGAAUCUGACUAGUAUCCAUGAGGACAUGGGUUUGAUCCUUGGCCUCGCUCAGUGGGUUAAGGAUCCAGUGUUGCCAUGAGCUGUGGGGUAGGUCACAGAUGAGGCUCAGAUCUGGUGUUGCUGUGGCGUAGGCUGGCGGCUACAACUGUGAAUAUAUAUAUAUAUAUAUAUUUCCCCCCGUCCCCCUGCUGUUUAGUACACAGCAAACACACCAAAAGCACUAAGCCUGUUGGCCCACAGGUUACGGGCUACUGGUUUGGGGCCCAAUUCUCAUUUCCCAGAGGAGUUGCAGAGUGAUGGGGACCUGCCCUGGGUCUCAUGAUGACUGAUGUGACCCCGAUUUUCCCACCUGUGGUCUGGAUGUGGGUGGCAUUGGUGUUCCCUCCGCCCGGGCGGUGAGGGCGAGGAUUCACUGGUGCAUGUGGGUGCAUCUGCAAAGCAUCUGCCUACACAGUGCAACAGGCCAUUACCUCCGUUGUGUCAGCUGCCUCCACCUCACAGCCACUCUCUUGGUGUUGUUUAAUCAGAUCAUAGGUCUCUUUUUAUGCCAGGGGACGAAAGUUGAGUUGUGCUGAUUGUACCUACUGUGCGCCUGGGAACCAUUAGGUUUCCCAUUGUGGCACAGUGGAAGUGAAUCUGACUAGGAACUAUGAGGUUGUGUGUUCCAUCCCUGGCCUCCCUCAGUGGGUUAAGGAUCUGGUGUUGCCGUGAACUGUGGUGUAGGUGGCAGACACGGCUCGGAUCCCUUGUUGCUGGGUCUGGUGUAUCCAGCAGCUGUAGUUCCAAUUAGACCCCUAGCCUGGGAACCUUCAAAUGCCACAGGUGUGGCC